UAAAAUCAUGUCUUUCUAAAAGCCUCUCUAUUCUCUUCCUGUUUGAUCAUGGUCUAUCACUGAAAGAAAAUCUUCCGUGAGUUUAGAAGUAUGCUCUGUGCUUGCCAUAUAAUGGAUCCUGCACAUUAGAAACUAAGCUUAGACCAGAGAUACUAAAUCUAGUUGGGUUUGAAGAAGUAGUCUAGAUUAAUGGUAUUAACAGCUAAAAGGCAGUGCCUAUUUAAGCGGCCAAGAAGAGAAGGCCUUGCUUUUGCAUAGCAUACCUGCUGUUAUGAUCUUUUAAUCUCAAAUAUCUCGUCUUCAAGCUCAGCUGUGUCUUUUACUUUUUUCAAUGCUUAAUAUUUUUUAAAUAUAAAUAUUUAAUAUUUUACGUUUGGGCUCGGGACCAAUGCAGUGGUUGGCUCGGGCUUGCUUAAAUAUAAUUUUGGGUUAAA
rnacentral:lncRNA from 1 species